rnacentral:rRNA from 1 species
AACGAACGCUGGCGGCAUGCCUAACACAUGCAAGUCGAACGAAACCUUCGGGUCUAGUGGCGCACGGGUGCGUAACGCGUGGGAACCUGCCCUUAGGUUCGGAAUAACUCCCCGAAAGGGGUGCUAAUACCGGAUAAUGUCUUCGGACCAAAGGUUUAUCGCCUUUGGAUGGGCCCGCGUUGGAUUAGCUAGUGGGUAGGGUAAAAGCCUACCAAGGCGACGAUCCAUAGCUGGUCUGAGAGGAUGAUCAGCCACACUGGGACUGAGACACGGCCCAGACUCCUCCGGGAGGAAGAGGUAGGGAAUAUUCGACAAUGGGCGAAAGCCUGAUCCAGCAAUGCCGCGUGAGUGAUGAAGGCCUUAGGGUUGUAAAGCUCUUUUAUCCGGGAUGAUAAUGACAGUACCGGGAGAAUAAGCUCCGGCUAACUCCGUG